UGGGGAAUAUUGCACAAUGGGGGGAACCCUGAUGCAGCCAUGCCGCGUGAAUGAAGAAGGCCUUCGGGUUGUAAAGUUCUUUCGGUGACGAGGAAGGUUGGUAGGUUAAUAGCCUAUCAAAUUGACGUUAAUCACAGAAGAAGCACCGGCUAACUCCGUGCCAGCAGCCGCGGUAAUACGGGGGGUGCGAGCGUUAAUCGGAAUAACUGGGCGUAAAGGGCACGCAGGCGGUGACUUAAGUGAGAUGUGAAAGCCCCGGGCUUAACCUGGGAAUUGCAUUUCAUACUGGGUCGCUAGAGUACUUUAGGGAGGGGUAGAAUUCCACGUGUAGCGGUGAAAUGCGUAGAGAUGUGGAGGAAUACCGAAGGCGAAGGCAGCCCCUUGGGAAUGUACUGACGCUCAUGUGCGAAAGCGUGGGGAGCAAACA
rnacentral:rRNA from 1 species